AUUGAACGCUGGCGGCAGGCCUAACACAUGCAAGUCGAGCGGAUGAAGGGAGCUUGCUCCUGGAUUCAGCGGCGGACGGGUGAGUAAUGCCUAGGAAUCUGCCUGGUAGUGGGGGAUAACGUCCGGAAACGGGCGCUAAUACCGCAUACGUCCUGAGGGAGAAAGUGGGGGAUCUUCGGACCUCACGCUCUCAGAUGAGCCUAGGUCGGAUUAGCUAGUUGGUGGGGUAAAGGCCUACCAAGGCGACGAUCCGUAACUGGUCUGAGAGGAUGAUCAGUCACACUGGAACUGGGACACGGUCCAGACUCCUACGGGAGGCAGCAGUGGGGAAUAUUGGACAAUGGGCGAAAGCCUGAUCCAGCCAUGCCGCGUGUGUGAAGAAGGUCUUCGGAUUGCAAAGCACUUUAAGUUGGGAGGAAGGGCAGUAAGUUAAUACCUAGCUGUUUUGACGUUACCAACAGAAUAAGCACCGGCUAACUUCGUG
rnacentral:rRNA from 1 species